rnacentral:rRNA from 1 species
GACGAACGCUGGCGGCGUGCCUAAUACAUGCAAGUUGAGCGCUGAAGGUUGGUACUUGUACCAACUGGAUGAGCAGCGAACGGGUGAGUAACGCGUGGGGAAUCUGCCUUUGAGCGGGGGACAACAUUUGGAAACGAAUGCUAAUACCGCAUAAAGACUUUAAACACAAGUUUUAAGUUUGAAAGAUGCAAUUGCAUCACUCAAAGAUGAUCCCGCGUUGUAUUAGCUAGUUGGUGAGGUAAAGGCUCACCAAGGCGAUGAUACAUAGCCGACCUGAGAGGGUGAUCGGCCACAUUGGGACUGAGACACGGCCCAAACUCCUACGGGAGGCAGCAGUAGGGAAUCUUCGGCAAUGGACGAAAGUCUGACCGAGCAACGCCGCGUGAGUGAAGAAGGGUUUCGGAUCGUAAAACUCUGUUGGUAGAGAAGAACGUUGGUGAGAGUGGAAAGCUCAUCAAGUGACGGUAACUACCCAGAAAGGGACGGCUAACUACGUG